UACGGGGGGAGCAAGCGUUGUUCGGAUUUACUGGGCGUAAAGGGCGCGUAGGCGGUCAGCACAAGUCAGUUGUGAAAUCUCCGGGCUUAACUCGGAAAGGUCAACUGAUACUGUGCGACUAGAGUGCAGAAGGGGCAACUGGAAUUCUCGGCGUAGCGGUGAAAUGCGUAGAUAUCGAGAGGAACACCUGCGGCGAAGGCGGGUUGCUGGGCUGACACUGACGCUGAUGCGCGAAAGCCAGGGGAGCGAACGGG
rnacentral:rRNA from 1 species